GGACCCGCACAAGCGGUGGAGCAUGUGGUUUAAUUCGAUGCAACGCGAAGAACCUUACCAGGGUUUGACAUCCUGCGAAUCUCUUGGAAACAGGAGAGUGCCUUCGGGAACGCAGUGACAGGUGGUGCAUGGCUGUCGUCAGCUCGUGUCGUGAGAUGUUGGUUAAGUCCCGCAACGAGCGCAACCCACGUCUUUAGUUGCCAGCAUUUAGUUGGGCACUCUAGAGAGACCGCCGGUGAUAAACCGGAGGAAGGUGUGGAUGACGUCAAGUCAUCAUGCCCCUUACAUCCUGGGCUACACACGUACUACAAUGCUACGGACAAAGAGCAGCAAGUUCGCGAGGAC
rnacentral:rRNA from 1 species